UAUUUUUUUAGUUUAAUGAAAAAAUAUCAAUUUUGGGAAUUGAAGUUUUAUAAAUCUUUAGUAUAAAAAAUAUAU
rnacentral:tRNA from 1 species